rnacentral:lncRNA from 1 species
ACCCUGCUGAGAAAGCACCGCUGCGCGCCCCUGAGCCCUACUCCCAUUGCUAGAUGCUGUCACCAGCGAUGAAAACACGCGAGCCUGCGUUCAUUUUACUCCAGCUGGAGUACAAAAGAACUGCCCACGCUAGCUCUUUCACUACGCGGCCUCGAACCCCCACCUCCUCCGGUGCGGAUCAGGACCCAGGAGUUUCCAGUCUCCAGGGUUGUCCUGGUUUGUGUUUGGAAUUGGAUCCAGUUGUAACGAUUUACUCCGCUGUUUGCUACAAGAUUCAGCAGCUGUUCCAUGUGGGGGCCCCGUUCCUGCUGUUCCCAGGCACCCGCUGGCAGGACAAAGCACCUUUCCCCAGGUACUGUUCCUCCAAUCUGUCCUUACACAAAUGUACCACAAAAUUCUCUUCAGCCUGGGAGUGUGGCAGGAAGAAGAGCUACUGGAUGCAUGGCUACAUUAGGGUGAGAAAAUCAGUUGAGUCAACACUAAGACCAGGGUGCCUUUCAAAAGAAAGAUCUUGAACUAAAUAUGAGGUUUCGAAAAUUUUUUGUAAUUAAAAUUGGGAGAAGAAAAUCUAUGAAAUGUAUGUCAUCAGCACAUUGAUUAUAAAUGUCUUUCUGUUGGAAAAAAAACAUUGCAAUAAAGUUCAAGGGUAUAUC